rnacentral:rRNA from 1 species
CGGCGAUGUCCGAAUGGGGAAACCCAGUGUGAUUCGUCACACUAUCGUUAACUGAAUACAUAGGUUAACGAGGCGAACCGGGGGAACUGAAACAUCUAAGUACCCCGAGGAAAAGAAAUCAACCGAGAUUCCCCCAGUAGCGGCGAGCGAACGGGGAGCAGCCCAGAGUCUGAAUCAGCUUGUGUGUUAGUGGAACGGUCUGGAAAGUCCGACGGUACAGGGUGAUAGUCCCGUACACCAAAAUGCACAGGCUGUGAACUCGAAGAGUAGGGCGGGACACGUGGUAUCCUGUCUGAAUAUGGGGGGACCAUCCUCCAAGGCUAAAUACUCCUGACUGACCGAUAGUGAACCAGUACCGUGAGGGAAAGGCGAAAAGAACCCCGGCGAGGGGAGUGAAAAAGAACCUGAAACCGUGUACGUACAAGCAGUGGGAGCACCUUCGGGUGUGACUGCGUACCUUUUGUAUAAUGGGUCAGCGACUUAUAUUCUGUAGCAAGGUUAACCGUAUAGGGGAGCCGCAGGGAAACCGAGUCUUAACUGGGCGUUAAGUUGCAGGGUAUAGACCCGAAACCCGGUGAUCUAGCCAUGGGCAGGUUGAAGGUUGGGUAACACUAACUGGAGGACCGAACCGACUAAUGUUGAAAAAUUAGCGGAUGACUUGUGGCUGGGGGUGAAAGGCCAAUCAAACCGGGAGAUAGCUGGUUCUCCCCGAAAGCUAUUUAGGUAGCGCCUCGUGAACUCAUCUUCGGGGGUAGAGCACUGUUUCGGCUAGGGGGUCAUCCCGACUUACCAACCCGAUGCAAACUACGAAUACCGAAGAAUGUUAUCACGGGAGACACACGGCGGGUGCUAACGUCCGUCGUGAAGAGGGAAACAACCCAGACCGCCAGCUAAGGUCCCAAAGUCAUGGUUAAGUGGGAAACGAUGUGGGAAGGCACAGACAGCCAGGAUGUUGGCUUAGAAGCAGCCAUCAUUUAAAGAAAGCGUAAUAGCUCACUGGUCGAGUCGGCCUGCGCGGAAGAUGUAACGGGGCUAAACCAUGCACCGAAGCUGCGGCAGCGACACUAUGUGUUGUUGGGUAGGGGAGCGUUCUGUAAGCCUGCGAAGGUGUGCUGUGAGGCAUGCUGGAGGUAUCAGAAGUGCGAAUGCUGACAUAAGUAACGAUAAAGCGGGUGAAAAGCCCGCUCGCCGGAAGACCAAGGGUUCCUGUCCAACGUUAAUCGGGGCAGGGUGAGUCGACCCCUAAGGCGAGGCCGAAAGGCGUAGUCGAUGGGAAACAGGUUAAUAUUCCUGUACUUGGUGUUACUGCGAAGGGGGGACGGAGAAGGCUAUGUUAGCCGGGCGACGGUUGUCCCGGUUUAAGCAUGUAGGCUGGUUAUCCAGGCAAAUCCGGAUAAUCAAGGCUGAGGUGUGAUGACGAGGCACUACGGUGCUGAAGUAACAAAUGCCCUGCUUCCAGGAAAAGCCUCUAAGCAUCAGGUAACAUCAAAUCGUACCCCAAACCGACACAGGUGGUCAGGUAGAGAAUACCAAGGCGCUUGAGAGAACUCGGGUGAAGGAACUAGGCAAAAUGGUGCCGUAACUUCGGGAGAAGGCACGCUGGUGUGUAGGUGAAGCCCCUGCGGGUGGAGCUGAGACCAGUCGAAGAUACCAGCUGGCUGCAACUGUUUAUUAAAAACACAGCACUGUGCAAACACGAAAGUGGACGUAUACGGUGUGACGCCUGCCCGGUGCCGGAAGGUUAAUUGAUGGGGUUAUCCGUAAGGAGAAGCUCUUGAUCGAAGCCCCGGUAAACGGCGGCCGUAACUAUAACGGUCCUAAGGUAGCGAAAUUCCUUGUCGGGUAAGUUCCGACCUGCACGAAUGGCGUAAUGAUGGCCAGGCUGUCUCCACCCGAGACUCAGUGAAAUUGAACUCGCUGUGAAGAUGCAGUGUACCCGCGGCAAGACGGAAAGACCCCGUGAACCUUUACUAUAGCUUGACACUGAACAUUGAGCCUUGAUGUGUAGGAUAGGUGGGAGGCUUUGAAGCGUGGACGCCAGUCUGCGUGGAGCCAACCUUGAAAUACCACCCUUUAAUGUUUGAUGUUCUAACGUUGGCCCCUUACCGGGGUUGCGGACAGUGUCUGGUGGGUAGUUUGACUGGGGCGGUCUCCUCCCAAAGCGUAACGGAGGAGCACGAAGGUUAGCUAAUCCUGGUCGGACAUCAGGAGGUUAGUGCAAUGGCAUAAGCUAGCUUGACUGCGAGCGUGACGGCGCGAGCAGGUGCGAAAGCAGGUCAUAGUGAUCCGGUGGUUCUGAAUGGAAGGGCCAUCGCUCAACGGAUAAAAGGUACUCCGGGGAUAACAGGCUGAUACCGCCCAAGAGUUCAUAUCGACGGCGGUGUUUGGCACCUCGAUGUCGGCUCAUCACAUCCUGGGGCUGAAGUAGGUCCCAAGGGUAUGGCUGUUCGCCAUUUAAAGUGGUACGCGAGCUGGGUUUAGAACGUCGUGAGACAGUUCGGUCCCUAUCUGCCGUGGGCGCUGGAGAAUUGAGGGGGGCUGCUCCUAGUACGAGAGGACCGGAGUGGACGCAUCACUGGUGUUCGGGUUGUCAUGCCAAUGGCACUGCCCGGUAGCUAAAUGCGGAAGAGAUAAGUGCUGAAAGCAUCUAAGCACGAAACUUGCCCCGAGAUGAGUUCUCCCUGAGACUUUAAGUCUCCUGAAGGAACGUUAAAGACGAUGACGUUGAUAGGCCGGGUGUGUAAGCGCAGCGAUGCGUUGAGCUAACCGGUACUAAUGAACCGUGAGGCUUAACCUU